AUUGAACGCUGGCGGCAGGCCUAACACAUGCAAGUCGAGCGCGCGGCGGACGGGUGAGUAAUGUAUGGGGACUGCCCGCUAGAGGGGGAUAACUACUGGAAACGGUAGCUAAUACCCCAUCCUAUCGGAUAAUCCAUAUGUGAUUAGCUAGUAGGUGAGGUAAUGGCUCACCUCGGAGACGCUCCCUAGCUGGUCUGAGAGGAUGAUCAGCCACACUGGGACUGAGACACGGCCCAGACUCCUACGGAGGCAGCAGUGGGGAAUAUUGCACAAUGGGCGCAAGCCUGAUGCAGCCAUGCCGCGUGUAUGAAGAAGGCCCUAGGGUUGUAAAGUACUUUCAGUCGGGAGGCGUUACCGACAGAAGAAGCACCGGCUAACUCCGUGCCAGCAGCCGCGGUAAUAC
rnacentral:rRNA from 1 species